rnacentral:lncRNA from 1 species
UUGCAGACUCCAGCGUUCUUUGUACCUUCUAGGCCACCUUCUCUCAGUGUCUAACAUAAUACCACUUUCGGGGGUCUAGUUACCUUCCCUGCUGUGAAAUACCUGCCAACGACCUAAGAUGAACUCUGCAGAAAGCGGAUGUGAAUCUCACCCUGCCUUUAACCCACCAUCCAUGAGAGGACACGUGAUGUCCGGGAGUACAGGAAAUCCAUGAGAGUAGUUGGUUCACCUUGGUUCAGACUAACUCUACAAGUACCAGAAGGAGACUGCACAGCCCCAUUCAGAGGGCUAUGUCGUUGUUGGUUGAGGGAAUGACAGGACUGCAAUCUGCAGGUUUGGGUGACCAUCGCAUCACAGAUGUGGUCACCUUUGUGCUCCUUGAUCUUUCUAGGACCCUUUCCAUACUUUACCUGUCCUUUACCCUCCCCUGGUCGUUCAUUUUGGACAGUGGUUCUCUCUCUUCCACAUACUCCUCGUCUUCAUGACUUUCUGCAGACAAAUUCAGAAACGUCUAGUCAGACAUCGACCCGGCCCUGGUAGAUCAUCACCCCCAUGUCCUCUGCCCUGAGUCGAGCAAACAGUUAAAUACGUCUAUUUUCACCAAAGAUCACAGGGAACAUGUCAGCAGCCUUCAAGAGCUGUUGCUGAAAGAGUCAGCUUGGCCCCAGCAGACACCCUGGUGUUUGGUGAGAUAGGUGGGAUUGUACACCAAGACGAGACUGAUGGAUGGAAUCCAUACACCCCACGGAGGAAAGCGUAUUUGGCGCUUUCCAGAGGCCAGGAUCCUGGGUGAUUCAUAGAGGUGGGGCCACCAGGGCCCAUGCCUUGAUUUCAGCGAAAACUCCAGACAUGGAAAGACAGAGCUCCCAGCUGAGCCCAGAGGCACAAAGAUAACAGAAUAUUAAACGAGGAAAGACUGGACACCGCAACUUCCCCACUGGUUCUGAUUGGAAGACUAAGGGAGAGGUCACAGAAGAGAUGCCUACAACUUCCCAGCAGACGUCCAGCACAGAGCCCCGCUUACUUGAGCUUCUCCGCUAACGUUGACUUCUCUGUGGGCUUCCCCUCCUGGAACUGCAGCUUCUCCCCCAGCACCGAUUCAAUGAUGUCUUUGCACGCUCCAGACUCUGAGGAAAGACAGAGAGGCCGGCCUCAGUGGAAAGCUGGCCAUGCUGCUGGGGUGACUGCCUGCAAGGGAGGAGGCAGGCUUCCAUCUCUUCUCUCAGAGGCAGAUAGAACCCCAGCACCAGGCUCUCCACUGAGAUUUCCACCUUCUAUUGCUCAGCCUCCCAAAUACACGGCAUUUGGUCACUCCUCAUUUGACAGCUGAGCAAAGAGAAGCUCCAAGGCAGAGAAAGUGACCAGACAAGAUUAGCUGACGUUUGGCAAGCUCAGAAUUCACAUGCCCUGAGACUGACGCCGAGUCCUGGGCCACUUUACCAAGACUUGCAGCCUCUUGAGUAAAACACUAAGCAGCGGCAUGAAGUGGCGAUCCCUGUGUGCUCGGGAAGGCCCCUGGGCCUACUGAUUGUUGGGCCCUCUGAGCUCAGAAUUUCAAGGACAAGUACCUUCACGAUGAAAUAUAAAUGUAUACGAAUGCAAUUCUGAAAAAUACAAGGCAUAACCAUCAAUCCCUGAAGGAAAUAGGCACAGGCUGUAGAAGUUGUUUUCAAUUCCAAGUAGUACAAGAAAGAACUAAUAAAUAGUGUUUCCUGUGUGUCAAGAACUGUUUUAGUAACU